GAUGAACGUUGGCGGUGUGCCUAAUACAUGCAAGUCGAACGGAGUUAAUAGCAAUAUUGACUUAGUGGCGAACGGGUGAGUAACGCGUUGGUGAUCUGCCUUGAAGUGUGGAAUAACGCUCCGAAAGGAACGCUAAUACCGCAUGUGCUCUCGAUUUUCAGAAAGUUGAGAGUAAAGGAUUUAUUCGCUUCAAGAGGAGCCUGCGUCCCAUCAGCUGGUUGGUAGGGUAACGGCCUACCAAGGCUAUGACGGGUAGGGGACCUGAGAGGGUGGCCCCCCACAAUGGAACUGAAACACGGUCCAUACACCUACGGGUGGCAGCAGUAGGGAAUAUUAGAAAUGGACGAAAGUCUGAUCUAGCAACACCGCGUGUGCGAAGAAGGCCUUCGGGUCGUAAGCACUUUUGGAAGGAAUAGGAAGGAAUGUACUCCUAGAAUAAGUACUCGGCUAACUACGUG
rnacentral:rRNA from 1 species